GUUGGGCUCAUCUAUCAUCUUGUCCGGUCAGAUAACCUUUUACACUUCUGACUGCGCAUUGAAAACCUGAAGCUGAUUCGGUUCACAUCCAUCAGUUGUCUCACAGGGUUUCCUGCAGUUCCUCUGUGAUUGGUACCAGGCCAAGAUAUGGUGACGUGACGAUGAGGAGAAGUACAGUUUACGUUGUUUUAGUUUGUAACUCACCGUUCAGUCGGUGAUUGGUAUGAAGACCAAGGAAUGUCAAAUAUCAGAAAGAGGGCAGAGGGAUCCACCAUGCUGCAAGACAACGAACAUGUUUGAGAACAAAGGAAACAAACUGUAGCUGUAAGUGCACUUUAAUGAAAGAAGGAAGAUGAAAAAAAAUACGUGUGAAGUCCCAGCAGGAGUGAUAAAGAUGGACGCUGGCCAGUCCAAUGAAGAGCCCACUUGGAGGUCUCACCACCUGGAUGAACAUGAAACUGCUGCUCGACUACAAGGUCACAGUGAGAGAGAAUGAACACUAACUCGCACACGAGAAGUAAUAUUCAGUUAUAUAGCGUG
ensembl:lncRNA